CCUCUCAAAUUUCUCAUCAUCUUUCUUGAAAUCUGCCGCCCAGAACUGGGCACAAUACUCCAAUUGAGGCCUAAUCUGCGCAGAGUGGAAUGGAAGAAUUACUUCUCGU